rnacentral:rRNA from 1 species
UACGGAGGAUGCGAGCGUUAUCCGGAUUUAUUGGGUUUAAAGGGUGCGUAGGCGGCCUGCCAAGUCAGCGGUAAAAUUGCGGGGCUCAACCCCGUACAGCCGUUGAAACUGCCGGGCCCGAGUGGGCGAGAAGUAUGCGGAAUGCGUGGUGUAGCGGUGAAAUGCAUAGAUAUCACGCAGAACCCCGAUUGCGAAGGCAGCAUACCGGCGCCCUACUGACGCUGAGGCACGAAAGUGCGGGGAUCAAACAGG